rnacentral:rRNA from 1 species
UACGAAGGGGGCUAGCGUUGCUCGGAUUGACUGGGCGUAAAGGGCGCGUAGGCGGUCUGGACAGUCAGGCGUGAAAUUCCUGGGCUCAACCUGGGGGCUGCGUUUGAUACGUGCAGACUAGAGUGCGGAAGAGGGUCGUGGAAUUCCCAGUGUAGAGGUGAAAUUCGUAGAUAUUGGGAAGAACACCGGUGGCGAAGGCGGCGACCUGGUCCGAUACUGACGCUGAGGCGCGAAAGCGUGGGGAGCAAACAGG